CCUACGGGAGGCAGCAGUGAGGAAUAUUGGUCAAUGGACGAGAGUCUGAACCAGCCAAGUAGCGUGAAGGAUGAAUGCCCUAUGGGUUGUAAACUUCUUUUAUAUGGGAAUAAAACGUUCCACGUGUGGGAUUUUGUAUGUACCAUAUGAAUAAGGAUCGGCUAACUCCGUGCCAGCAGCCGCGGUAAUACGGAGGAUCCGAGCGUUAUCCGGAUUUAUUGGGUUUAAAGGGAGCGUAGGUGGAUUGUUAAGUCAGUUGUGAAAGUUUGCGGCUCACCCGUAGAAUUGCAGUUGAAACUGGCAGUCUUGAGUACAGUAGAGGUGUGCGGAAUUCGUGGUGUAGCGGUGAAAUGCUUAGAUAUCACGAAGAACUCCGAUUGCGAAGGCAGUUCACUGGACUGCAACUGACACUGAGGCUCGAAAGUGUGGGUAUCAAACAGGAUUAGAUACCCUUGUAGUC
rnacentral:rRNA from 1 species